rnacentral:rRNA from 1 species
AUGGCAGCGGAUGGACACUUGUACAUGGGGCCUCCUGCUGAAUUUCCCGGUAAUCAUGCUGUGUUGCUGAUCGGAAGGGUAGCACGACAAGUGGUGCUCCCAAAUAACAUAACCCGGCAGAGUGAGGUGGUUCCCAGCCUUCUUUUUAAGGCAAGGAACUCAAAUGGGUCUACAGCUCACAGGUCUGCUGCACAAGGAGGUUAUGGUGGGGAUGUGUACCUAUUGGCGCAGGAUUUGGGUCCAUACUUGUAUGGAUUUCGUAUUGAGAUCCCAACCUGGAUGCUUCCUAAUGAUGCCUGA